CCACGUUGGUCAGGCUGAUCUCAAACUCCUAGCCUCAAGUGAUCCACCCACCUUCGCCUCCCAAAGCCCUGGGAUUAUAGGUGUGAGCCACCGCGCCCUGCUCAAAUCCUUUCUUUUUAAAUGAAGUAGCCAGUGUGGAUGAAUGUUUAAGAGCACAGGCUUUGAAGCCUGGACCAGCCAGACUUGGGUUGGAAUCCUGGCCUUUUAAAGAGAUUGUAGCCUCUCCAAAACUCAGCUUCCUCCUCAUAGUAGUGAGAAGUAUGUAACCUACUUCAUGGGCUUGUUUUAACGAUGAACACACCUAGCACGCUGCCUGGGCAAGUAGGAGUUAAUCCAUGGUAGCUAUCAUCAUCAAAGUAUAGAUUUCACUAUUUCUUAGCAGUUUUUCUUGGAAAAGGAGACUCUUAUGAUAACCAAAUGAAGUUCAAAUAAAAUUUCCAAAAAAUGGUGAUCCCAAAAAGUAUAAACAAGAAUGCAUGAGCUCUCUGUUCCAUCCCUCUCCUCCAUCCAAAUUAUGGACUGAAGAUUAGAGGGGUCUAGUAUUGGGGAAUCAAUGAAUAUUAACAGUAGAAAAGUGUUUCUGUGACAACUGGAGGGACAGAAAACAAACGCCAUUGUAUUUGUAGUACAGACGAGAUGUGUUCUUAAACUUUCUCUUUGCAGACUCCCUGUUGUAUGUGAGUGUGUUUUUACAUUCUGUUUUUCUGUUGCUGGCAUUAAAUGGUCUUUUUAGGUCAGUUUGGGAUUGACUCCAGGGGCUUCCAGUCAUAAAAAAUCCUUUAGAGAGACUAGGUUUUACUCAAUUGCGAAUUUUUCCGUUCCGACUUAUUAAUAUUGUUAUUUUAUAGGCUUCCUAGGGCUUUUGGGCAUCAUUAAUUAUGUGAAUUCUUCUUUAUCUCAAGCAUAGGAAGACAACAUAUCCCUAGACAGUGAGACAAUCAGUGCCUACUAGAACACGUAAAGCAUCAGGAAAAUCAGAUAUUCAUUUUUCCUGCUUUUUGAUAGGUUUCUCAUUUAAUUUUUCUCACUGCUUGUCUAGAUGACAAAUGUUUUCCAAGCAGCCAAUUCUAAGCCAGGUUGCGUUUUCAGUUCCAGUUUCUCAUUUAGGCUGGAAUUUCCUGGGGUAGAUUUAGCUUUGCUUGAGAGAUCACAUUUAGCCCCUCAGUGAGGUUCCUUUGAUUCCUUUUUUCCCUCAGUCAUUGGACAGAAAUGUGGGUUCUUCUCAUUAAA